rnacentral:misc_RNA from 1 species
AACUUGAGCUACAAAACUCCAAAUUGAGUGAUUCAAAAAAGAAAUUAAAGACACAUAAAGGAACAACGUUGAUGAAGAAAAUUUUGCCAAAUUUUCACUGUAACAAUGACCAAUGGAAUAGUAAACUUAAGGUAUGAAAUUUGAAAAUUUUGAAUAACAUAAAAUAAGCUUUGAAAUGGUAUUGGAAAUCAAUGCCAAUAAAAAUAAAAUGCAAAAUGUGGUAUUUUGGUGAAUUUAGGCUUAACAAAUCUAUUAUGAAUUAAAAAGUCAACUUUUGUGUAGGAAUGGCCAAGUGAAUAGUAACAACCAAAAUUAAUGGAGUGAAAGGUACCCCACUUAAAUGAUUUAAUGAAUGUUUAAAUUAUGUAAAUGUGUAGAUGAGGGUUGUAUUUUCAUCACAAGUAGAACUUAGGGGAUAUUGUUAAUUUAAUUUGAAAUGUGAUUUAUAAAUUACUAUAAAUGAAAUAUUAAAGAUGUAAAGGAUGUGUAAAUAAUAUUUGAGACUUAGGUUUCUUUUAUGAAUACAAAUGAAAAUACUUGAAUCUAUGUACAUAUAAAUGAAAUUACUUGAACCUAGACACCUGUAAAUUGACGUAAUAAAUUAGCUAAAUGAUAAAUAGAUAGUGAGGUUGAUAUCUAUAAAAUGUUUAUGGAUUACUUGAUAAUUUAUAUAUAAAUAGUGUAAUGAAUAAAUGAAUUAUGUUAAUGUGUGAAUGAGACAUUAGUUUUCAUUAUUGUAGAAAGGAAAAGUAUUUUGAGUACAAUGGUAUAUGAGAACUAUUGUUGUGAAAUGUGAUCAACACAAAUGAUAUAAUGAAUAAAUAUAUGAUUAUGAUGAAGGUAAAAUUUAUGUAGAAAUGUAUUUUAAAAAUUUAUACUUCUGUUAGGAAUAGAAUUGAAAUGUUAUAAAUUAUAAUUGGAAUUUGUCAUGAAAUAAUGAAGUAAAAAAAAAUAAUAUAUUAACAUUUAAUGAUACUAUGUGCCCAUGUAUUGUCUAGACACGUGUGUCAGAAUAGAUAAAUUGAUAUGCCAAUAGGAUAUUAUUUUAGCAGUAUUGUGUUAGGCUUUAUGCCCGCACUCAUGGCUUUUAUGCCCGAUUAUAUGUUAUCAUGGCUUUUUAGCCAUA